rnacentral:rRNA from 1 species
UGCUCGAAAGAGAGCUUGGGCACAGGUGCUGCAUGGCUGUCGUCAGCUCGUGUCGUGAGAUGUUGGGGUAAGUCCCGCAACGAGCGCAACCCUUGUCAUUAGUUGCCAUCAUUUAGGUGGGCACUGUAAUGAGACUGCCGGUGACAAACCGGAGGAAGGUGGGGAUGACGUCAAGUCCUCAUGGCCCUUAUGGGUAGGGCUUCACACGUCAUACAAUGGUCGGUACAGAGGGUUGCCAAGCCGCGAGGUGGAGCCAAUCCCAGAAAGCCGAUCGUAGUCCGGAUCGUAGUCUGCAACUCGACUGCGUGAAGUCGGAAUCGCUAGUAAUCGUGGAUCAGCAUGCCACGGUGAAUACGUUCCCGGGUCUUGUACACACCGCCCGUCACACCAUGGGAGUGGGUUUCACCAGAAGUAGGUAGCCUAACCGCGAGGGGGCGCUUACCACGGUGGGAUUCAUGACUGGG